GUCGAUUUGUUUUGUUUGAUUCUUCACUGUAUUUCUUUUGGUUUAGGGCCUCAAAAUUAUGUAAGUACAUAUAAUAUACUAUAUUUUUAAUAUUUUUUAUUAAAAAAUUUGAGGAAUGGGGGGUGUCUUCUAUGUGCAGUUCCUGUACCAGGCCCCUUAUGUAUAGUUAUCUUCAUUUGUCUCCACAAACUGGCAGUCAGGGUUAGGAGUUAUCAGGAGAUAUGGUUGUCCUGGCGCCAUCUGGUAUCCUGCUAGAGAGUAGGGAAGCACUGGGACCGUGUCGAUAGGGUGGGAGUAGAAGAGAACACAUUCUCAGUGGGGUCUCCAGAGAGCCUGGUGUGGAAGGCAGGUUGGAAAGACGGUCCCCCUACCCCACCCCUCCAGCCACUCCUCUCAGUGAUGCCUCCUCCGUGAGUCUUCUUGGCCUCAGGAAUUGCUCCCUUGCCUGGGAACUACCACGCGGUCUAGAGAGACCGUGGGCUAUCGAAGAGUCUGGCCCGGGGUUGGCCCUGCCCGUCACUCCAGGAGGAUGGACAGAUGCAGGGACAGAAAGAGGGACUGGAGUUCACCUAGAGGUUUCUUAUUAACUGUCCCCAACCAGCUAAUUCCACCGCUUGUCUUCAAAGCUCUCUGCGCCGGGAGGCUGAGUCCGAGGACGGCGGGCGGAGGCGGGAAGAGUCGAGACCCCAGGUUAUGGAACGGCGCGGAGACAGUGGCCACAGGGAGCGGGAACUCGGGUGCUGAAAGCAGUCCUGGAGGGCUGCGCGGGGGCGAGGCCGAGACCACUCCCUCCUACUUCCCCGACGUUAUUUCCUGGGAGGAGUCGGAGCUGGCGGCCAGCGAGCAGAGAGAUUCCCGGAUCCCUCCUCCAGAGUAUGCAGCACGGGGGCCAGUGGUCCCUGAGCGCGCGCCAGGACCGUUUGGCCUUGAAUCAAGGCGCUAGGGCUGCGGAAAGUCUAGUACGACCUCUAAGGGUGUCCGCGAUGGCCGUCGCAUGUCGGCUCGUUGGUCUAGGGGUAUGAUUCUCGCUUCGGGUGCGAGAGGUCCCGGGUUCAAAUCCCGGACGAGCCCUACUUUGGUUUUUGCGGAGACGAGAGCGUGCCCUAAGGUGCUUGUUAUUGGAACGGCGCUGCGGAGGCUCGACUGGGAAGUGAUAAGAGCGAACUGAGCGCUUCAAGGAGGAGGGCAGUAAGGUCUCUUGUUUUGAGUGGAUACCCCGGUGGCAGGAAGAGGCUCACAGUGCACGGUCCUUCCUAGUGUGCCAGGGAGAACGCAGGCACCUCCAGACUUGGCCAAGACAUUCACUGUCUGCUCCCCUCCUUCCUGCUGGGUGCUUCUCCUGUGCCACCAGAGCCUGGUUUCGGUUUGAUUGAUGCCUGUCAACCUAUAGUAGUGGAUGACAGGUAGUGAAAUGAAGUGAGACCUCUUCAGGGUGGUGUUUGUGAGACCCCAGGGACUUUCAGGACUCAGGUCUUUGCAGCCUCGCAGCCCGUCUGUCUCUCGGUCACUCCUGCUCGUUACUACCCUUCUGGGGACUCACGCUCAGGUAGGGUCUAGAACGCGCAUGGUUUUCGGGACAGCAUUUCUUAGGGCUCGGAAGGACAGAAUCCUCAGGAACCUUGCCGGUAGCGCGCUGAGUGAAGGUAUCAGAUCCAGGGUUUGGGGAGGUGUUUCGCUAGCUCAGUCCUCGUUAGUAUAGUGUAGGUUGAUUAGCCAUUACUCUCAUCGUUCAAUAUGCUUACUAGAAGUGUUCGUUGACAAUAACUUGAAAAACACAGAUGGGCAAACAGCACAAAACCGACGGCCCGAGUAAUCCCGCCUUCAGACUUUACCUCCGGCGUGGCGCUCGCUUUCGCCCGCAGCCGUGCGGAGACCCGGGCACGCGCCCCGCUCCGCACAGGGCACCGAGCCUGGGUUUUGUUUCCCUUGGCCUCCUCUCUUCUGCGUCUGUGGACUGGCACGGCCAUCCCAGGCGGAGAGUCCAGCGCGCUGUUUUCGAUGAGAGGGGCGUGAGGAGUACACCCGGCCGGGGUCGCGGGGAGCUGGCGCCUCACACGACCCUGGACACGCGACACUGGGACUAGGCCCAGGGAAAGGGGGGAAAAAUUUUUUUUAAAAGCACGGUUGCGUUGGCCGGGAAUCGAACCCGGGUCAACUGCUUGGAAGGCAGCUAUGCUCACCACUAUACCACCAACGCCGGCUAGCAAGCUUUCUUCCUGGGAUUCUUUAGGACUUAGAUACGUCGGCAGAGUCGUGGCCUGGGAGAUGUAACUUGGGGUCUGAACCAGAGCCCAGCAAGGGGUAAACACGAGGAAGGCCGAGACACAACGGCUGCGGUCUGCGGGGCACGCACGUGUGAGCGGCGCUCGGCUCCCAUCACCGCCAGUGCGCUCCAGUCACCCCACGAGAAACUGUGUGAUUCUACCCAGUCGACAGAGGGGGAAACCAAGGUCCAGAGAAGUUAAGUGAAGGGGUUUUCUGGCAGAGCUGGGAUUCAACCGUAAGAUUUUCUAGGGGCCCAGAUCUGCAUCGACAUAAUGGCUCUAUCAUCCCCCAAAAUAAAUCCCGAACACAUAAAAUCGCUUCUCUGUUGCGUGACCUCAGUGUGUCCCAAGAUUAAAGAAUCGGGCCUUAAACCAAGUGCGCCCAAGCCCAAUUUGUCCAGAGGAGGAUGUUUAAUUCCCUUGUGCGCGCGCAUCUAGUCUGCUAGCCGCUCUGAGAAACACGUGGACAAAAAUCUUCGGGGCGAGGUCUGAGAAUCAAACUCCGCCCCUAUUGCUGAUGAUGUGUCUGUUCACGAGACCCGUCAAGCGGCGGCCUCCAGAAGGCCUCGUGGCGCAACGGUAGCGCGUCUGACUCCAGAUCAGAAGGUUGCGUGUUCAAAUCACGUCGGGGUCAAAAGGUCACUUGUUUUCCGUAUCUGGAUAGACUGACUCGCUGUAAGAUAUUUCAAUAAAGAAAAAUGCACCUGCUUUUACUAUAUGAGGAAAAUAUGAACCUGAGUGUUUCUGUGUUUUUUUUCCUAAAGUUACAUGAAUUUU
rnacentral:tRNA from 1 species